rnacentral:rRNA from 1 species
GUUUGAUUCUGGCUCAGAUUGAACGCUGGCGGCAGGCUUAACACAUGCAAGUCGAGCGGAAACGAAGGUAGCUUGCUACCAGACGUCGAGCGGCGGACGGGUGAGUAAUGCUUAGGAAUCUACCGAGUAGUGGGGGAUAGCCAUUGGAAACGAUGAUUAAUACCGCAUAUAUCCUACGGGGGAAAGCAGGGGACCUUCGGGCCUUGCGCUAUUCGAUGAGCCUGAGUGAGAUUAGCUAGUUGGUGGGGUAAAGGCCUACCAAGGCGACGAUCUCUAGCUGGUCUGAGAGGAUGAUCAGCCACACUGGGACUGAGACACGGCCCAGACUCCUACGGGAGGCAGCAGUGGGGAAUAUUGCACAAUGGACGAAAGUCUGAUGCAGCCAUGCCGCGUGUGUGAAGAAGGCCUUCGGGUUGUAAAGCACUUUCAGCGAGGAGGAAAGGUCAGUAAGUAAUAUUUGCUGGCUGUGACGUUACUCGCAGAAGAAGCACCGGCUAAUUUAGUGCCAGCAGCCGCGGUAAUACUAAAGGUGCAAGCGUUAAUCGGAAUUACUGGGCGUAAAGCGCGCGUAGGUGGUUUGUUAAGUUGGAUGUGAAAGCCCAGGGCUCAACCUUGGAACUGCAUUCAAAACUGACUCACUAGAGUACGAGAGAGGUUAGUGGAAUUUCCUGUGUAGCGGUGAAAUGCGUAGAGAUGGGAAGG